UACGUAGGGUGCAAGCGUUAAUCGGAAUUACUGGGCGUAAAGCGUGCGCAGGCGGUUUUGUAAGUCUGACGUGAAAUCCCCGGGCUCAACCUGGGAAUUGCGUUGGAGACUGCAAGGCUAGAAUCUGGCAGAGGGGGGUAGAAUUCCACGUGUAGCAGUGAAAUGCGGAGAGAUGUGGAGGAACACCGAUGGCGAAGGCAGCCCCCUGGGUCAAGAUUGACGCUCAUGCACGAAAGCGUGGGGAGCAAACAGG
rnacentral:rRNA from 1 species